UCCUGUAUGUAAUUGCAUAAUUUCUAUAGUAAUCUAAAUUGUAUUUUUUCUAAUUUAAUACAUGUUAAUUAUAAGAUGUAAUGUUUUGAAAAGAUGUGUCCCGCCGAGUUUCUUGCCGGUCCAUAUUGGGAUACCCUCCUCCAAUUGAGGGGGAUUUAAAUCUUCUCGGGUCAGAGGUGUAAGGUUAGAGCCGAGCCGGUGUAGCUUUAUUUCACGUUCAUAAGCGCAUUUUAACAUACUUGAAUAAUAAACUAUCUUUAUCUUAUCUUUACAUGUUAGGGUUGGCUAUCAACAUGUUUUUAUAUUUUAAAAAAAAAAAAAACAUGUAAGUAACACAAGUUUGAUUGAGAAAUCGAAUUAUGAAUAAGGUAUGCAAUUUAAAAUAAAGUACAUCUCCCUCGCUUGUUUACAGACCUCCUUCAAGAGGUCUCUUACACACCGAAUACAGAUAUGCUAGCAAAAAGCAACUGGGAUAAAGUUGCAUUUUACUAGGGUGAUGAACUCCACGAGCUUGACUCCUAACAUAACCCAACACUAUCCAUAGAAAAUAGACGACCUACCUGAAUAGAAAAGUCGUCUGUUUUCGCAGCCCAAUGCAAAAAAAUUCCAAGAGUAAACUGCAAGUUUAUUACCAAAGGUGCUCGACUGGGGUAUGAAUUCAACUAGGAAAGCAAUUUCCGCUUUAUGGCGUGCUAUGAGCCCGGAGUGUGCCCACGAUUUGAGAGUGACGGGGCUAUUAAGUACCGAUAUCUCAAUUGGCAGGGAGUUACGUAUUGAUAACCGAUUUGGCAGACAGCGUAUAAACGGGGAUUUUAUAGAGAUUCUGCUAUGACAGGACUGAGAGUCGGUAUGUAAUAAUUAAAUGAAGUAAAUUUGGGUCAUUAACUUUUAUUGAAUUUGGUGAUCAUUUCUUGAAGAAUACUGACAUUAAAUUAUUAUUUCUAUAAACUGACUAUAAUGUUACUAUAUAAUACGAAAGAAAAGGUGUUCACCUUUUCUUAUCUCAUACUCGAAACAUCCAAAAAAUAAACACUUUAUGAAAAUAUAUUUAUCAAUCUCAGUGAUAAGAUACUCCGUUUGAACAUUGAAAUCAGAAAAACCUGAUCCUUUAUACAAAAAUAUGCUAGGUAAAAGCAAACCCACCGUUCAUAAUUUUUUAUCACGCAAUUUUUUUAGCGCAAAUUCUCAACAUCCUCCUACUUUGUUACCACGUCUUCCGCUCUUCUAAUUUUAUUUUCCGUUAUUUUCGGUUACCUCCCUGAGAACACCGUUCAAUUUCAAUCUAAUCCUGCAGCCGGUAACGGCCUGGUACUCGUAGAUGACGUAACAGCUACAUCCCUGCAGCGAGAAAUGACGUAAGUCCUCCUCAUUUCAUUCCUCGCCUGUCGAACGUCAUUUCGUAAAUUUGCACCGAAAUGUGGAGCUUAACGUGGAGCCUGCGAUCAAAUUUUGAAAACAAUUUAUACAAUGUCGUUUUAAAUUGCAGGAAAUUUAGGGAAUCAGCAGUGUAAUUGGAUUAUUUUUAUAAGGAUUUUCAGAAAUUGCACCUGUUUCAUAGAUUAAAUAUAGGUAUUAUUAUUUUAUGUACGUAAAGCCAAAACGAGCGCUAUUUGGCUGCAAAACUAGCAUUAUGAAUUAACUCUUCUGUAAUUAGCUAACAUCACAUUUGAUUACAUCUUGGUGUAAUAAAAUAUAGCUCCUCGAGUUUAUGUGUUCAAUUAUAUGAAGCUGUUUAAUUAAUCGCCGCAGUAUCUCUUUACACUUCAUAAAUAAAAACUCAUAACGGCUAGUCACGUUUGGUGACAAACAUGACACCGACUUUAUUCGUUUUCAUAUAACUUCCCCCUCUUAAUAUUUACCAGGUGUCGUUACACCCCCUUUAUUACCUUAGUCUGCAAUAAUCCUCGUAGACGUCUCGCUGUACGCGGAUAAUACGGGAUGUUUAAACGUGGCUUGUAUGUACAGUACACAGUAUCGCUUGUUUAUAAAAAUAUAGAAUAUCAAACGGCUUUGUUUACAAAAGACUUGAGUUGUGAGAAUAACGAAUACAAAAAUAAGAAUGUUCCUACACAGCUCUCGGUUAAUUAAUUUGAAUGACCGAAUUGGGUUGGUAAACAUAUAAACUUGUCUGCUUUUGUGUAACACGAGUGAAUAACUCAUAUCAUUUAGACUUGAAUUACACCGGACUCUUGUGGUGCUUUGUAGUUUGAGUUAUUAUAAAGAAAAAAUAUGGUUACACGUAUUUAAAUUAUAAAUUUUACUUGAAUUACGUAAGGAACAAAGUUCUCAACGCCCAAUAUACUAUACUAGUGAUAGACCCACUUACAUUACAUUGGGCCAGAAAAAGAAAUGCUCUCACUUAACCCACAUAUUUCCUUUGUCAGCAAAAAGUUGGGCAAUAUUCGCCUCAAUACGACCUUUCGAAGAAGGGGCCACGCAAAGCUUUCAUAAAACAUAUCGCAUACCAGUAGGUCAACUUUCAUGGUCGCAAUUCAAAUCAAUAAAAGCAAUAAACGAGAAAACGCGACUACGAUUGACAUUACAACACGUUUUGUUAGCUAAGUAAAUGUAGAUAAAAUAUUAAUAAUCCG